rnacentral:rRNA from 1 species
AGAGUUCGAUCCUGGCUCAGGAUGAACGCUGGCGGCGUGCUUAACACAUGCAAGUCGAACGAGAAAUGAAGAUGGAAACCUUCGGGCGGAAGCCUUCAUUUCGAGUGGCGGACGGGUGAGUAACGCGUGGGUAACCUGCCUCAUACAGGGGGAUAACAGUUGGAAACGACUGUUAAUACCGCAUAAGACCACAGCACCGCAUGGUGCGGGGGUAAAAACUCCGGUGGUAUGAGAUGGACCCGCGUUCGAUUAGCCAGUUGGCGGGGUAACGGCCCACCAAAGCGACGAUCGAUAGCCGAUCUGAGAGGAUGACCGGCCACAUUGGGACUGAGACACGGCCCAAACUCCUACGGGAGGCAGCAGUGGGGAAUAUUGCACAAUGGGGGAAACCCUGAUGCAGCGACGCCGCGUGAGUGAAGAAGUAUUUCGGUAUGUAAAGCUCUAUCAGCAGGGAAGAAAAUGACGGUACCUGACUAAGAAGCCCCGGCUAACUACGUGCCAGCAGCCGCGGUAAUACGUAGGGGGCAAGCGUUAUCCGGAUUUACUGGGUGUAAAGGGAGCGUAGACGGAAUGGCAAGUCUGAAGUGAAAUACCCGGGCUCAACCUGGGAACUGCUUUGGAAACUGUUGUUCUAGAGUGUUGGAGAGGUAAGUGGAAUUCCUGGUGUAGCGGUGAAAUGCGUAGAUAUCAGGAAGAACACCGGAGGCGAAGGCGGCUUACUGGACAAUAACUGACGUUGAGGCUCGAAAGCGUGGGGAUCAAACAGGAUUAGAUACCCUGGUAGUCCACGCUGUAAACGAUGAAUACUAGGUGUCGGGGUGCAAAGCAUCUCGGUGCCGUCGCUAACGCAAUAAGUAUUCCACCUGGGGAGUACGUUCGCAAGAAUGAAACUCAAAGGA